UACGGGGGGAGCAAGCGUUGUUCGGAAUCACUGGGCGUAAAGGGCGUGUAGGCGGUCAGGUAAGUGGGAUGUGAAAGGCCCCGGCUCACCCGGGGACCGGCAUCCCAUACUGCUUGGCUUGAGUACGGGAGAGGAUGUGGGAAUUCCUGGUGUAGCGGUGAAAUGCGUAGAUAUCAGGAAGAACACCCGUGGCGAAGGCGGCUCUCUGGGACGGUACUGACGCUGAGACGCGAAAGCGUGGGGAGCGAACAGG
rnacentral:rRNA from 1 species